rnacentral:lncRNA from 1 species
CCAUCCCAGAGGCCCUUAUCUCCGGAGCUGUCCUGUGUGGGGUUGAUACCCAGGCACAGGCUCCUUUGCUCUAGAACCCCUGGGGGCAGUAAUGCAGCCCUUGUGCUCCGAGACUUGUCGAAGUUUGGAGAUACCUGGAGAGCUUGUGGGGCACUCCAGAAGACAAGACAGGGCUAAGGAAGCACAAGGAACUACUGCGAUGACCAUAGGAAGCCACCGCCUCAAGUGUGCCUCAGCUUUCCCACUCAUUUGGUGUGGCUGUUGGUUCUUUCUUCUUUUAUUAUGAACGCCGUAUCUGUGAUACAUUCCGAAUGCAUAGGGACCAGAGAAAAGAGUAGAUGGUUAUUCAGUGUGCCCUUGGAUGGGGGAGAGUCAGGAGCCUUCUGCUGUAUUUCCAACAUCACAUCCUGUUAACCCUUGUGGGAGUGUGGAGAAUCGAAACCACAGCCUCGUACAUUCUGGGCGUGCACUCUAAAACGGAGCUGUGCCCCGGCCCUACCAU